AAGUUACUUCAAGUUGAACAAUCUUGCAACCAAUGACUUGUGUACAAGGAAGGGAUCACUUCCUUCUUACCCCAAACCACACUUGGUCAAGCAAGGAAGUUUUACAAACACUCGAAAAACCCUCACUAUGCUACACUAUUGAAGAAGCUGUGUCACACUUGAAAAACUACAAGAAGAUUGCACAAGUUAAGAGUACAAAUGUUCCUUUUGAGUAUUCUAACACUGAAUCACUUGCGAUCUGAUGUAGACUUGAUGUGCAAAGUACUCCUAAGGUGGUUGACUUUGUUCUUUUUAUAGGAGACCAGAAAAUUCUUCAAUUAAUGCUGUCAACGGGUAGAAGGCAACUGAAGAGUCAACUAGCCGUUGGUGCUGUCGGACGUCCGAUAGUCAGUUUUUAUGUGUCCGAACGAGAUCAAUGAGUUCUGGAAGUUUUCUUGAAUCUCUUAGGACGUCCGAUCCCCUAUCACCAUGCGUCCGAGGGUAAGAUGCAUAUUUGGAAUUUCCUCUUUAAUUCCCUCGGACGCCCGAUGCAUCUAAUUGUGUUGCGUUCGAAGUGCAGCAACGCUUGUCGGACGUUCGAUACUCAGGUGUUGAGCGUCCGAUCGUGAUCAGUAAUCGUAGAAGGCCCUGGCUUGUCUUCUUCGGACGUCCGAGUCUGAGUUCUUCACACGUCCGAAGAUACUCAAAGGAUGUCGGACGUCCGAUACUUUCCUUUUGUGCGUCCGACAUCUUCCCCAGCACUUUUCAUCCUUUUUGCUUUAAGUCCACAGACCUGUUUAGUGUCAUUUCUAAAAAGGGGCUCUACAAAAAAAUAUUAGUAACAUCCAUUUGUUUUGUAAUCAUCAAAAGAUACGAAUUGAGAUAAACAAUCUCCCCCUUUUUUAUGAUGACAAAACAUUUGGAUAGAGCAAAAAUAUACGAACUGGAAUAUAACAACUCCCCCUAACGAAGUGCAUGAGUGUUCAGAAAGAAACGCAAUCUACACCAUCAGUAUCAGUGCAAACUCAACUCCCCCUGAAACUGACUCCCCCUAACUAGUUACUCUAUACCAUCAGUGCUAAUCCAAUUUUUCCCCUUUUUGUUAUCACAAAAGGGAGUGUUAGUUUUGAUACCAGC
rnacentral:lncRNA from 1 species